rnacentral:rRNA from 1 species
GUUAGGAAUCUUCCACAAUGGGGGCAACCCUGAUGGAGCAACACCGCGUGCUGGAUGAAGGCCUUCGGGUCGUAAACAGCUUUUGUAUACGAAGAAUAUGACGGUAAUAUACGAAUAAGGGUCGGCUAACUACGUGCCAGCAGCCGCGGUCAUACGUAGGACCCAAGCGUUAUCCGGAGUGACUGGGCGUAAAGAGUUGAGUAGGCGGCUUAUUAAGCGAGUAGUGAAAUCUGGAGGCUCAACCAUCAACACAUUGCUCGAACUGAUAGGCUUGAGAAUGGUAGAGGUAGUUGGAAUUUCUUGUGUAGGAGUGAAAUCCGUAGAUAUAAGAAGGAACACCAAUGGCGUAGGCAGACUACUGGACCAUUUCUGACGCUGAGGCACGAAAGCGUGGGGAGCGAACCGGAUUAGAAACCCCAGUAGUCC